GCCGGCCGCGAUCCCGGCCCGGCGUGCGUGUCCCCCGGCGGCCGGCCGCUCUCCCGGAUCGGGGCUGGAGCGCAUCCGGAGCCGCCGGUGGCGGUGCCGCGCCGCCGGCUUUAAGGAAUUCACCGGGGCUCUCCGCUGCCGUGGAAAUGUCUGUGCAUCCUCCUCCGCCUCCCAGCCCGGUGCCUCACCAGGACCGUGAACAUCAGCACAGGAACAGGAGGUGCAAAUGCUGUGCCUAAUCAAAGGCAAGAUGCGGCCGCUCGCACGUACAGGACUACUCAUAUUUUCUGUACUUUCUGGAUAUUGGGACAUGAAUACCUACAGUGAUUGUAAACACACUCAGGGGCAGGAAGACUUUCUCUAGCUUCUGUGUAACCCUCACACACCUCUCUGAUCCUUCACAAUGAGG